rnacentral:sRNA from 1 species
UCUGUAUGGCUUCAUAAGCUUCCUUGCUU